CAGCCGCCGCGGUAAUACGUAGGUGGCAAGCGUUGUCCGGAAUUAUUGGGCGUAAAGGGCUCGCAGGCGGUUUCUUAAGUCUGAUGUGAAAGCCCCCGGCUCAACCGGGGAGGGUCAUUGGAAACUGGGAAACUUGAGUGCAGAAGAGGAGAGUGGAAUUCCACGUGUAGCGGUGAAAUGCGUAGAGAUGUGGAGGAACGCCAGUGGCGAAGACGACUCUCUGGUCUGUAACUGACGCUGAGGAGCGAAAGCGUGGGGAGCGAACAGGAUUAGAUACCCCUGUAGUCCCUGUCUCUUAUAC
rnacentral:rRNA from 1 species